AUUGAACGCUGGCGGCAGGCUUAACACAUGCAAGUCGAACGAGUGGCGGACGGGUGAGUAAUGCUUGGGAAUCUAGCUUAUGGAGGGGGAUAACUUCGGGAAACUGUAGCUAAUACCGCGUACCCUAGGAUGAGCCCAAGGGGGAUUAUGUAGUUGGUGAGGGAAAGGCUCACAAUGCCGACGAUCUCUAGCUGGUCUGAGAGGAUGACCAGCCACACGGGGACUUGGACACGGCCCAGACGCCUACGGGAGGCAGCAGUGGGGCAUAUUGCGCAAUGGGGGCAACCUGACGCAGCCAUGCCGCUUGAAUGAAGAAGGCCUUCGGGUUGUAAAGUGCUGUCGGUAGCGAGGCGUUAACUACAGAAGAAGCACCGGCUAACUCCGUGCCAGCAGACGCGGUAAUAC
rnacentral:rRNA from 1 species